ACAGAUUUUCACCGUCCGCCAUUGUUUGUGGCGUCCUGACGCUAGAUUUGGCUUGAAAAUGCCGUUCCCUAAAGAAAAUAACAAUAGACUUGUUCCGCAUAGUUUGAUCUAUGGAGUGGUCAGUGUUAAUGUUGAGAGAUCAAGGAAAUGAGGACCCAAAAAAUCAAGAGCCUUAUAAAACGCGAGGGUCCAUUGACAUCGUCGCUCUUAAAAAGCAACUCACUCCUGAAGACUUUUUCAUUUCUAGCUUAUUGACCAACAUUCCAACUGAAAGUGUAUCUACAGUUGACGAUCUCAAUAGCAAUAAGGUUGGUGUUGAACAAGAAGAAUGUCUAGCAGCUAACACCUCACACUUAACAGGGAAAAGGCUGGAUUUGUCUGAUAGGACAAUGAAAACCAAACUUAAAAGGAGUUAGAAAAAUUGCAGAAGAAGAAAUUAAAAAAGAAAAAUAACAAGAAGUGGUCCUGAAUUGCCAAACUUGCACAAGCCACCGAGGCAGCAUCAGUGUCAUCAACUUCUGAUCCCACAGAGUUUGUCAAAACAGUGAAAGCUGCCUACUAUUCAGCAAAUUUGAUUUAGGAGAACUAUCUAAUCCCUCGCCCAUUCUGAACAAGACCACUUUAGAUUCAAAAGUGGCAACAAUAAAAAAAAAAAACUCAAAGCCAAAGUGAAAAUCUUGGAUGGCCAAACUGAAGUUGAAUGCGAGAAGUAUUGAAGAGAAACAGGCAUGAAAAGGUGCUCUGCAAAGAGCAGAAGGUUUUCAGGUGAAAAACAAUGUGGAAUUGCUUGCUAAAUCUAUUAAGAAACAAGAUGAAAUCAAAUCAAAUUGUAAAAGAAGUUGGCUGAACGCAUCGAAGAAUAGGAAAAGAGAAAGGAAUAACAACAGAAAACGAGAAAAGCCAACAUUAAGAAAAAGAAAACUGAAAAGAAAGAACAUAAAGUGAAUAAACUAAAGAAAAAAGGCAAAUUUAUCGCAUGAAAAACUGAUACUGACUGAUGGAUCAGCUAAACUUGUGUUCUUUCAUGUGCAGCCAUGUCGUGAUAGUUUUUUAGAAAAAUACACUGAUAUGCCUUCCAUGA